rnacentral:rRNA from 1 species
AGUAACACGUGGAUAACCUACCUAUAAGACUGGGAUAACUUCGGGAAACCGGAGCUAAUACCGGAUAAUAUUUUGAAUCGCAUGGUUCAAAAGUGAAAGACGGUAUUGCUGUCACUUAUAGAUGGAUCCGCGCUGCAUUAGCUAGUUGGUAAGGUAACGGCUUACAAAGGCAACGAUGCAUAGCCGACCUGAGAGGAUGAUCGGCCACACUGGAACUGAGACACGGUACAG